rnacentral:misc_RNA from 1 species
UUAAAAUCGCGUUAGUGAUAGCAGUGAAAAGCCCGUAAAGCACCUUUUUUGGCGCUGCGGACUUGCAACGAAUAGCACGGUGGCCA